AACAGGCAGUCGCGUGGCGAGGCCGAAAGGCCCGCUAUGAGGAAAGUCCGGGCUCCACAGGGCAAGGAUAACGGGUAACGCCCGCCGAAGGCGACUUCAGGAAAAGUGCAACAGAGAUAUACCGCUUGGCUGCCUGCGGCGGCCAAGUAAGGGUGGAAAGGCGAGGUAAGAGCUCACCCAUCGGCUGGAGACUGACCGAUGCUGUAAACUCUAUUCGGAGCAACACCGCGGGAGGACACAAGGCUGGCCCGGCCGUCCUCAGGAGGUGGCUAGAGCGGCCUGGCAACAGGCCGUCGAGAUAGAUGACUGCCAAAGACAGAACCCGGCUUACAGUUUCCCUC
rnacentral:RNase_P_RNA from 1 species